rnacentral:lncRNA from 1 species
CUGUAUUUCAUUCACUUCAUUUGAUAUAUGAUCAGAGAAAAUAAUAUAGCUGCAGAUAAGCCACCAAAGUGGAACAAAGAGAGGUAUGAUUCACUUAGAGCAAACCAAAAGCUGAUCCUGUCAGUUUUGAGGAAUAAAAGGUACUGGGAAGAGUUCUAUCAGAGCACAGUAAAUUCAUUCCAGAAGGCGGCUUUCUUCAGACUAUGUAUUAAAACAGGAUGCCUCUGCCAAGUGUCAGGUCAGUGAUUUAGCUCUCUAGCAAGUAUUUUCUACUAUUUUAUUUAUUCCAGAAACUUCUAACCAUCACUUUAUAAAAUCACAAAGAAUGGCUGAAUCGUAUGAGUUUUUAUCUCAAUGAAGGAAACGUAGGCCUGAGCUCAUUUUGGUAAAUGAAGAGAGCCAGCCCUUUUACAGAUACUUUCUGAGCAGCAUUGCUGACCUUUACUGCAUGAUACCUCUUUCCUGCUACUCUGCCAGAAACAUUGCCAGCUUCAUGUCUUAUGAAAGUCAGUAAUAGUGCAAAAGUUCAUAGAAAUCUGUUGCAUCCGUCAUCUUUUUGUUUUCUAGAGGGAGCAGUUAUUUGUUCACUGGUAUGAAAAAGUUAAUAAGUUUAUUGGAAAACUUGUUCUCAGAGAAAUGUUUUGUUAGAGUGGAUACAUUCAAGAGAAAUUCAGGCCAGAUAAUUGUUUUGUUGCAGCAGCAACAUCUGCAGCCCUUGUUGGGAAGGAGGUAACUAUAAAGUUGAAAGAUGUCAUUGGAUAAAAUACUGCCAGUCAUAGUUCAGAAGGCACUGAAAAUGGGCAAGGAGCAGUGGGAGCCAGCAAGAGGCCCUCAACAAAUAUCUUUCAUUGAUGCUAUGGGCAAAUGUCAUGUGUGUGUAAACUGACUUUACUGUCCAUUUCCAGUGAUGAUUCAGGAGAUGGGUAAACACCUAUCCCUGUUUACUGGGAAGAAGUUUGUGGUUCUCUCUGCCAAAAAUAAGAGUAGAAAGAACUGGAUCAUCUAAAGAAUUGUGUAGAAUUCAUGUAUUUCUUGGGGGCUGCCUGUCUGUUUGCUUUUCAGUUCAGCAGAAUUGGUUUGAAUGUGGUUCAUAUUAGUUUCUAGGGUCAGAAUAGGACCACUCAUCUUUGAAUAUUCUAACCUGCCAGCAGUUCAGUGUUCAGUGUCAUCCUUUUACAUGGGAUUUUAAGAGGGCAUGUUAGCGCAACCUGUGCAAGUGAAAGGCAAGAACUGGAGACAGUGUCCA